AACGAACGCUGGCGGCAUGCCUAACACAUGCAAGUCGAACGAGACCUUCGGGUCUAGUGGCGCACGGGUGCGUAACGCGUGGGAAUCUGCCCUUGGGUUCGGAAUAACAGUUGGAAACGACUGCUAAUACCGGAUGAUGACGUAAGUCCAAAGAUUUAUCGCCCAGGGAUGAGCCCGCGUAGGAUUAGCUAGUUGGUGGGGUAAAGGCCUACCAAGGCGACGAUCCUUAGCUGGUCUGAGAGAAUGAUCAGCCACACUGGGACUGAGACACGGCCCAGAAUCCUACGCGAAGCAGCAGUGGGGAAUAUUGGACAAUGGGCGAAAGCCUGAUCCAGCAAUGCCGCGUGAGUGAUGAAGGCCUUAGGGUUGUAAAGCUCUUUUACCCGGGAUGAUAAUGACAGUACCGGGAGAAUAAGCCCCGGCUAACUCCGUG
rnacentral:rRNA from 1 species